AGAGUUUUAUCCUGGCUCAGAUUGAACGCUGGCGGCGUGCCUUACACAUGCAAGUCGAACGGCAGCACGGACUUCGGUCUGGUGGCGGGUGGCGAACGGGUGAGUAAUACAUCGGAACGUGCCUAGUAGUGGGGGAUAACUACUCGAAAGAGUGGCUAAUACCGCAUGAGAUCUACGGAUGAAAGCAGGGGAUCGCAAGACCUUGUGCUACUAGAGCGGCCGAUGGCAGAUUAGGUAGUUGGUGGGAUAAAAGCUUACCAAGCCGACGAUCUGUAGCUGGUCUGAGAGGACGAUCAGCCACACUGGGACUGAGACACGGCCCAGACUCCUACGGGAGGCAGCAGUGGGGAAUUUUGGACAAUGGGCGCAAGCCUGAUCCAGCAAUGCCGCGUGCAGGAUGAAGGCCUUCGGGUUGUAAACUGCUUUUGUACGGAACGAAAAGCUCUGGGCUAAUACCUCGGAGUCAUGACGGUACCGUAAGAAUAAGCACCGGCUAACUACGUGCCAGCAGCCGCGGUAAUACGUAGGGUGCAAGCGUUAAUCGGAAUUACUGGGCGUAAAGCGUGCGCAGGCGGUUUUGUAAGACAGAGGUGAAAUCCCCGGGCUCAACCUGGGAACUGCCUUUGUGACUGCAAGGCUAGAGUACGGCAGAGGGGGAUGGAAUUCCGCGUGUAGCAGUGAAAUGCGUAGAUAUGCGGAGGAACACCGAUGGCGAAGGCAAUCCCCUGGGCCUGUACUGACGCUUAUGCACGAAAGCGUGGGGAGCAAACAGGACUAGAUACCCUGGUAGUCCACGCCCUAAACGAU
rnacentral:rRNA from 1 species